rnacentral:tRNA from 1 species
GCCCGGGUGGCUCAGUCGGUUGAGCAUCUGACUUUGGCUCAGGUCAUGAUCUCUUGGUUUGUGAGUUUGAGCCCCACAUCAGGCU